GAAGCGGCAACAGCUCAAAUUUGAAAUCUGGCGCAAGCCCGAGUUGUAAUUUGUAGAGGAUGCUUCAGGGCAGCGGCCGGUCUAAGUUCCUUGGAACAGGACGUCAUAGAGGGUGAGAAUCCCGUAUGCGACCGGUUGGCACCCGUCACGUAGCUCCUUCGACGAGUCGAGUUGUUUGGGAAUGCAGCUCUAAAUGGGAGGUAAAUUUCUUCUAAAGCUAAAUACCGGCCAGAGACCGAUAGCGCACAAGUAGAGUGAUCGAAAGAUGAAAAGCACUUUGGAAAGAGAGUUAAAAAGCACGUGAAAUUGUUGAAAGGGAAGCGCAUGCAACCAGACUUGUCGGCGGUGUUCCGCCGGUCUUCUGACCGGUCUACUCGCCGCCGGCAGGCCAGCAUCAUCUGGGCGCGCCGGAUAAAGGCGUGGGGAAUGUAGCUCCUCGGAGUGUUAUAGCCCCGCGCACAAUACGGCGCCGCUCGGGUGAGGUCCGCGCUUCGGCUAGGAUGCUGGCGUAAUGGUUGUCUGCGGCCCGUCUUGAAACACGGACCAAGGAGUCUAACAUCUAUGCGAGUGUUCGGGUGUCAAACCCCUACGCGGAAUGAAAGUGAACGGAGGUGGGAAGCGCAAGCUGCACCAUCGACCGAUCCUGAUGUCUUCGGAUGGAUUUGAGUAAGAGCAUAGCUGUUGGGACCCGAAAGAUGGUGAACUAUGCCUGAAUAGGGUGAAGCCAGAGGAAACUCUGGUGGA
rnacentral:rRNA from 1 species